rnacentral:rRNA from 1 species
CCGGCCCUCCGCGAGCACCCGCGGGGGAUCGGGUUCCGGACCCGGUCCGAUCCCGUUCCCACCGAGGGGCUGUCCGCGAUCAUGGAGGUGUCCUCGGACGGCGUCGAAUCCUUCUCCAGUCCGCGACGCUACGGCUUGGAUGGUCCACCCGACCCGUCUUGAAACACGGACCAAGGAGUCUAACAUGCGCGCGAGUCGUUGGGUCGGACACGCUCCGCUAAACCCAUAGGCGCAAUGAAAGUGAAGGCCGCCGUCGGGCGGCCGAGGGAGGACGGGGCCGCUCGCGCGUUCCGGCGCGCGACGGUCUCCGCACCCCCGGGGCGUCUGAUCCCUCAUCGCGAGGGGAGGCGCACCCAGAGCGCACACGUUGGGACCCGAAAGAUGGUGAACUAUGCCUGGCCAGGACGAAGUCAGGGGAAACCCUGAUGGAGGUCCGUAGCGAUUCUGACGUGCAAAUCGAUCGUCGGAGCUGGGUAUAGGGGCGAAAGACUAAUCGAACCAUCUAGUAGCUGGUUCCCUCCGAAGUUUCCCUCAGGAUAGCUCGCGCUCGGAGGAGAGUCUCAUCCGGUAAAGCGAAUGAUUAGAGGCCUUGGGGCCGAAACGGCUUCAACCUAUUCUCAAACUUUAAAUGGGUGAGAACUCCGGCUUGCUCGACUUGUCGAAGCCGGAGACGGGGCUCCGGCCCCCGGGAUCGGAGUGCGUAGUGGGCCACUUUUGGUAAGCAGAACUGGCGCUGUGGGAUGAACCAAACGACGGGUUAAGGCGCCCGAAUCGACGCUCAUGGGAAACCAUGAAAGGUGUUGGUUGCUUAAGACAGCAGGACGGUGGCCAUGGAAGUCGGAAUCCGCUAAGGAGUGUGUAAUAACUCACCUGCCGAAGCAACUAGCCCUGAAAAUGGAUGGCGCUGAAGCGUCGUGCCUAUACCCGGCCGUCGCGGCAGGGCGGACCCGCGAGGGUGCCGUUCGAUGCGGCGACGAGUAGGAGGGUCGCGGCGGCGCGCGCAGAAGGGUCUGGGCUCGAGCCUGCCUGGAGCCGCCGCCGGUGCAGAUCUUGGUGGUAGUAGCAAAUACUCCAGCGAGGCCCUGGAGGACUGAUGUGGAGAAGGGUUUCGUGUGAACAGCCGUUGCACACGAGUCAGUCGAUCCUAAGCCCUAGGAGAAAUCCGACGCCAACGGCGACGGGAAAAACGAAUGACUGAGACCCGUUGAUCGGGCGAAAGGGAAUCCGGUUCCUAUUCCGGAACCCGGCAGCGGAACCGCUGUUUGUCGGGCCCUCACAAGGGGUUCGUCAGGGUAACCUAAAAGGGCCCGGAGACGCCGUCGGGAGCCCCGGAAAGAGUUUUCUUUUCUGCAUGAGCGUUCGAGUUCCCUGGAAUCCU